AGAAUCAACGCUGGCGGCGUGCCUCAGACAUGCAAGUCGAACGCGAAAGCCCCCUUCGGGGGCAAGUAGAGUGGCGCACGGGUGAGUAACACGUAGGUAAUCUACCUUCGGGUGGGGAAUAACAACCGGAAACGGUUGCUAAUACCGCAUAAUGCAGCGGCACCUAAUGGUGACAGUUGUUAAAGCGGGGGAUCGCAAGAUCUCGCGCCUGAAGAGGAGCCUGCGGCGGAUUAGCUAGUUGGUAGGGUAACGGCCUACCAAGGCGACGAUCCGUA
rnacentral:rRNA from 1 species